rnacentral:rRNA from 1 species
UUGUUAGUUUUUGAAGUAUGGCCUGCCCACUGACGUUUAUUUGUUGAAGGGCCGCGGUAUUUUGACCGUGCAAAGGUAGCAUAAUCAUUAGUUCUUUAAUUGUGAUCUGGUAUGAAUGGCUUGACGAGACAUGAGCUGUCUUAAUGGUAUUGUUUAUUGAAUUUGAUUUUUGAGUUAAAAUUCUUAAAUGUUUUUAUGGGACGAGAAGACCCUAUAGAGUUUGACAAUUUUUUAUUUAUUUCUUUUUUGUUUGUUUUAUUUAUUUAUUAAGUAGUAAGUUGUUUUGUUGGGGUGAUGGGAGGAAUUUAUAAAACUCCUCUUUGUUAUGGUAUAUUUAUUUAUGUUUUUUUGAUCCAUUUA